GACGAACGCUGGCGGCGUGCCUAAUACAUGCAAGUAGAACGCACAGUUUAUACCGUAGCUUGCUACACCAUAAACUGUGAGUUGCGAACGGGUGAGUAACGCGUAGGUAACCUGCCUGGUAGCGGGGGAUAACUAUUGGAAACGAUAGCUAAUACCGCAUAAUAUUAAUUAUUGCAUGAUAAUUGAUUGAAAGAUGCAAUUGCAUCACUACCAGAUGGACCUGCGUUGUAUUAGCUAGUAGGUGAGGUAACGGCUCACCUAGGCGACGAUACAUAGCCGACCUGAGGGGGGGAUGGGCCACACGGGGACUGGGACACGGCCCAGACUCCUACGGGGGGCAGCAGUAGGGAAUCUUGGGAAAUGGACGAAAGUCUGACCGAGCAACCCCGCGGGAGUGAAGAAGGUUUUCGGAUCGUAAAGCUCUGUUGUAAGAGAAGAACGGGUGUGGGGGGGGAAAGUUCAACCUGGGGGGGUAUCUUCCCAAAAAAGGACGGCGAACUACGG
rnacentral:rRNA from 1 species